rnacentral:lncRNA from 1 species
GUGGUCGGACAUCCUGCCCAAUCUACAUCACAAAAAACAUUAAUGGUUAGAAAGCUUUAUUAUUUGUGACCUUGUAAGCUUAAGUAAUUAAGGGGCCGUGUUAUUUUUCACAUUAUCUUUGGUUUAUGAGGUUAGUACCAUUUGUUAUUUUUUUUGGUUGAUUGAUGAAAUGACUUUUUAUUUUUUUAUGUUAUUUCUCUCUAAGAUAGUAGAAAAUGCUUACAUUUUUUUUUGGUGUCACGGCUCACUUUUUUUAGCUUUAAAAUAUUAUUAUUAACAAAUACAGUAAGUAUUUAAUUUCUAAACAAGCCCUGAAUUGCUUUACCAUUCUCGAUUCACGAACACCCUGAAACAUGCAUUCUUCAUACGAAACUCUCAAAAUCGCUAUCACUCUCAAAAUCCCUAUUACUCCAAUACUUAAUCCCUCACCGCACUCAUGUUCAUCACGAUUCAGCAUCGAAUCCUAACCGCACUCAAAAUCCUUAGUGUUCAUCACAAUCAACACUGAAUCCCUAACUCACACUGAAUCCCUAACUGCUCCCUUAGAAUGGUUCUCACUCGCACGAUCACUUUUUCAGAACUAUGAACUGUUCUCGUUCGUACCAACGGUCACUUCCGAAUCGCUAGCUCACUAGUUCUUUUGUAACCAAUUUUUUUUUUUUGCGAGUGUGGGAUUGAUUAUGAAUAGGGAUUUAGAACUGUGAUUGUUGGUUAUUUUAUGAAUCGUUUGUGUUUGGUUUUGGUUCUAUGUUUUAUCUUUUAAUUUGUUUACAUGAGAAAGUUUAGUUCUAGAUUUGAUUUUGUGUUGAGAAAGUUUUCUUGUUGUGAGAAAUACUUGCAUGACCAUUAAUAUUUAGUUCCAAUUUGGCCACACUCACAUAAUUGAGAAAAAAGUAUAAAGAAAAAAUAAUUAAAUAAUGUGUAUAUUUUGUUAUGUGUGUGACUAAAUAAUGACCNNNNNNNNNNNNNNNNNNNNNNNNNNNNNNNNNNNNNNNNNNNNNNNNNNNNNNNNNNNNNNNNNNNNNNNNNNNNNNNNNNNNNNNNNUUUUUUUUUUUGUUUUUGUUUUUGUUUUACAUAUAGGCUCUUUACUUGUGUAGCUUUAGUUAUUAUUGAAUUAUGAGCAAUGCUGUAUACUACGAAAAUCUGAUUAACGAAUUCCACCACACACACAUCAUGUGACAUUUUUUUUUAAAAUUAAAUAAUAACAAAUAUUAAAUUGGUCUUUUGGAGGAAAACAUGGGGUGGAAGUAUAAUUCUUAGGUUUUUUACUUGUAUGUGUAUGUAGUAGAUUUCCCAACCGUGCGACGCAUGUGAAAGAAUUUGUUUAUAUGAUAUGAUUUUAUAUUUCGUUUGUUAGUACGACCAAUAAAUAAUUUCACAUAAUAUUUCGAUAUCAUUAUAAAUUAAACUAAAUAUAAUUCGACCUUAUAAUUAGAUUAAAGGGAUAAUUAUUAUACAACUUACUCAAUAUGUAAGUCAUCCAUAAGGUUGAUUGAAAAUCAGACUAAUAAUAACAUAAUAAAACAUCACACGAUUCUUAAAAUAUAAGCUGCAUUAAACAAAUGAUCAAGGCAAACAUUAGCUCAUCUUUUUUCUGCUCAAUUGAAGAAAAAAAAUGUGUGUGUAAGUAGAGAUCUCAAGCUAAUGGGUUGGGCCAAAUUAAUAGUAGCACCCCCAACUUCUUUACAAACAUUAGCUCAAUAUUUUACCACCCAAUUGAAGAAAAAAAAUAAGUGUGUAUGAGUAGAAAUCUCAAGCUAAUGGGUUGGGCCAAAUUAAUAACAGCACCCCAAGUUUUGUUACAAACAUUAGUUCAUAUUUUCUCUGCCCAAUUGAAGAAAAAAUGUGUGUAUAAGUAGAGAUCUCAAGCUAAUGGGUUGAGCCAAAUUAAUAAUAGCACGCACAACUUCGUUACAAGCAUUAGCUCAUUUUUUCCCGCCCAAUUGGAAGAAAAAAAAGUGUGUAUAAUUAGAUAUCUCAAGCUAAUGGGUUGGGCCAAAUUAAUAAUAGCACCCUCAGCUUCGUUACAAACAUUAGCUCAUCAUUUUCAUGCCCAAUUGAAAAGAAAAAAAGUGUGUAUAAGGUAGAGAUCUCAAGAUAAUGGGUUGAGCCAAAUUAAUAAUAGCAUUUCAGCUUCGUUACAAACAUUAGCUCAUUCUUUUUCUGUCCAAUUGAAAAGAAAAAAAAGUGCGUAUAAGUAGAGAUCUCAAGCUAAUGGAUUAGGCCAAAUUAAUAAUAGCACUCCCGCUUCGUUACAAACAUUAGCUCAUCAUUUUUCUGCCCAAUUGAAAAGAAAAAAAAAGUGUGUAUAAGUAGAGAUCUCAAACACGAUUAAUUAUGUAAAUAACAUGAGAAUUAUGACCCUUUAUCUACCCAAUAGAAAAUAUCUCUUUUAACGUUUGUCAGAAAAUGUAUUCUAAACUUUACUUUUCAAAGAGGAAAAGUAAUUGUAUCUUUUGCAGAGUGGAAUAUUUAAAUGAAGAAAAUAUAGAGGAAGUUUUUACCCUUUUUAAUAUAGGAGAAGACAACGUUUUGCAGUCACCAAGGUCAAGUUCUUGAAUGAAUUUUCAAUAUAUUUCUCCUUGUAUCUCUCCUUCUCUUUAGCUCCAUCCAUCCCUAUCUUGUGUUCUUUGUAUUCCAACUUGGUUGAUCUUGUUGAAUGACCGUAGUAGCUAGUGGCUCUGAACAUGAUAUAUUGAAUUCCUCUAGUUUCAAAAUGGGACUUAGAGGCUAAUUUUGUUCACAUGAGAAGGAACGACAAAGGCUUUAUUUUUCUUCUAUGGUAGGCUUUAUUUUUCUUUCACAAUCAAAUGAGAGUUUUCAAAUACAAUGAAAGCUAUACAUGUGUCGCGGUGAUUUUCGG